CAGCCGCGCGGUAAUACGUAGGUGGCAAGCGUUGUCCGGAAUUAUUGGGCGUAAAGGGCUCGCAGGCGGUUUCUUAAGUCUGAUGUGAAAGCCCCCGGCUCAACUGGGGAGGGUCAUUGGAAACUGGGAAACUUGAGUGCAGAAGAGGAGAGUGGAAUUCCACGUGUAGCGGUGAAAUGCGUAGAGAUGUGGAGGAACACCAGUGGCGAAGGCGACUCUCUGGUCUGUAACUGACGCUGAGGAGCGAAAGCGUGGGGAGCGAACAGGAUUAGAUACCCCAGUAGUCCCUGUCUCUUAUACA
rnacentral:rRNA from 1 species